UACAGAGGGUGCGAGCGUUGUCCGGAAUCACUGGGCGUAAAGGGCGCGUAGGUGGCGGCCCAAGUCCAUGGUGAAAGCUCGAUGCUCAACAUCGAGUCGGCCACGGAUACUGGGUUGCUCGAGCACUGUAGGGGCAGAUGGAAUUCCGGGUGUAGCGGUGGAAUGCGUAGAGAUCCGGAAGAACACCGGUGGCGAAGGCGGCCUGCUGGGCAGUUGCUGACACUGAGGCGCGACAGCGUGGGGAGCAAACAGG
rnacentral:rRNA from 1 species